rnacentral:rRNA from 1 species
GUGUCAGCCGCCGCGGUAAUACGGAGGGUGCAAGCGUUAAUCGGAAUUACUGGGCGUAAAGCGCACGCAGGCGGUUUGUUAAGUCAGAUGUGAAAUCCCCGCGCUUAACGUGGGAACUGCAUUUGAAACUGGCAAGCUAGAGUCUUGUAGAGGGGGGUAGAAUUCCAGGUGUAGCGGUGAAAUGCGUAGAGAUCUGGAGGAAUACCGGUGGCGAAGGCGGCCCCCUGGACAAAGACUGACGCUCAGGUGCGAAAGCGUGGGGAGCAAACAGGAUUAGAUACCCUUGUAGUCC